CACAGAUUCCGGGAUCCAGGCUUGCGAGUGGAAUAAUGACUGGAGAAGGGAGCUAGAGACAUGGGACUCACCUUAUGCAAUACCCAAGAGCAACGUAUCCUAGGUUCCAGAGAGGCCUCAUUUAUCCCUGACAUGGUUUUCUUAGCACUGUGAGUUUUCACCUCUGCAACUGUACCAUCUUAUCUCUCAUUCCUGGUUUUAUACAGCCCAU
rnacentral:lncRNA from 1 species